UCGAGUGAAUUUGUAUUUGUCUUGGGAUUGCACCUUUCUCUUACCCCUUGUUGUAGGUCAAGUGCUACACUGAAAAAUUUUGUCGGCCUCAGAGUGAUGGAAAUCAAAUGCAACGCAUAAGGGCAACGAGUAGAAAAACCAAAUCUUGAGACAUCGAAUUUCAAGCAGGCAGAACAGAAGCCGAAAGACCAAUGGCUGAAACACUGGGUAAAGAGGAUAUCAAAGAGCAAAAACGGCAGAUAACUCUCCCAACCGAACUGGUGGACCUCAGUAAGGAUGCAAGACUUGUGGUACUGACGAAAAUGCGGUGUUUUGGUCUGAAGGACUCCAAACGAUAUUUGUUUUUGCCGACACCGGCGUAGGACACGUAAACGACUCAAGAUUUUAAAAGUUUUAAACUUGAAUUAUAAAUUUCAUUAGAGGUGUAAAUCUAAACUGUUAUCGCAUGCGUUUUCGUCAAGAUGAUGUUAUUGUAAGCUAUUUAUAGAAUUUUAGCCUGUUUGCUAAGCUCGUAUGAGAUAAAUCCGUGGAAGGGCUACGUUUGUAAAGGGGGCGUUCUGAUACUCUACGACCGGAAAGAGUACGAAAGUUAUCUGGACCGCAUAGCCUUGUUGAUUUAUUUGGUUGACAUCUUCACAGUUGAGAUGAAAAAGAAGAACUGCAGAGAGCGAAUUAAACUAAAACAGAUGUGAGCCUGUAAAAGAAAUAAAUCACCAACAGCCGCCAUUGAUAUAUAUGUCAUUAGCUGCAAGAGGGCAAAAUGCCAGAGCUAGCAGACAAGGCUAUUAAAAUAGAAUUACGAAAAACGUGAUGUU